CCAACAGGGAUUGCCUCAGUAGCGGCGAGUGAAGCGGCAAAAGCUCAAAUUUGAAAUCUGGCGUCUUUGGCGUCCGAGUUGUAAUUUGAAGAAGGUAUCUUUGGGCCCGGCUCUUGUCUAUGUUCCUUGGAACAGGACGUCACAGAGGGUGAGAAUCCCGUGCGAUGAGAUGACCCGGGUCUGUGUAAAGUUCCUUCGACGAGUCGAGUUGUUUGGGAAUGCAGCUCUAAGUGGGUGGUAAAUUCCAUCUAAAGCUAAAUAUUGGCGAGAGACCGAUAGCGAACAAGUACAGUGAUGGAAAGAUGAAAAGAACUUUGAAAAGAGAGUGAAAAAGUACGUGAAAUUGUUGAAAGGGAAGGGCUUGAGAUCAGACUUGGUAUUUUGCAUGUUGCUCUCUCGGGGGCGGCCGCUGCGGUUUACCGGGCCAGCAUCGGUUUGGAGCGGCAGGAUAAUGGCGGAGGAAUGUGGCACGGCUUCUGCUGUGUGUUAUAGCCUCUGACGAUACUGCCAGCCUAGACCGAGGACUGCGGUUUUUUACCUAGGAUGUUGGCAUAAUGAUCUUAAGUCGCCCGUCUUGAAACACGGACCAAGGAGUCUAACGUCUAUGCGAGUGUUUGGGUGUAAAACCCGUACGCGUAAUGAAAGUGAACGAAGGUGGGGGCCUAUUAGGGUGCACCAUCGACCGAUCCUGAUGUGUUCGGAUGGAUUUGAGUAAGAGCAUAGCUGUUGGGACCCGAAAGAUGGUGAACUAUGCCUGAAUAGGGUGAAGCCAGAGGAAACUCUGGUGGAGGCUCGUAGCGGUUCUGACGUGCAAAUCGAUCGUCGAAUUUGGGUAUAGG
rnacentral:rRNA from 2 species